ACGCACUCUAGAGACAGAACUGUUGUUUGGACAGCUAACCGUGACAGACCAGUCAACGGCCAGGGCUCCAGAGCUUCUCUGCGGAGAAAUGGCGCCAUGGUCUUAACUGAUGUUGAUGACACAGUCAUUUGGAUGACUAACACAACCUCUACUGGUGCUGAUAGAGCAGAGCUUCUGGAUACUGGAAAUCUUGUUCUCAAGGACAGACAUGGUAAAAUCCUAUGGCAAAGCUUUGAUUAUCCUACUGAUACACUCCUUCCUAAUCAAGUAUUUAGAAAGAGAACUAAGCUGAUUUCUGGAGUAGGAAAUGGAACUUAUGCAUCUGGGUAUUUUAGUUUAUAUUUUGAUAAUGAUAAUGUAUUGAGGUUGAUAUAUGAUGGGCCUGAAAUUUCAAGUGUGUACUGGCCAGAUCCCGAUUUUGAUGUGUUCCAAAAUGGAAGAACAAAGUAUAACAGUAGCAGAAUAGCUGUUUUAGAUGAUUUUGGCAGUUUCUCAUCAAGUGAUGAGUUGAAAUUCAGUGCUAUAGACAUGGGUUUCGGGAUCAAAAGAAGGUUGACAAUGGAUUAUGAUGGAAACCUCAGGCUUUACAGUCUUAACAAUGUGACAGGAUUAUGGAUGAUUUCUUGGCAAGCUCUUAUGCGGCCCUGUAAAGUGCAUGGUGUCUGUGGUAAAAAUGGGAUUUGCACUUAUAUGCCAGAGCCAAAGUGCUCAUGUCCACCCGGGUAUGAGACAACUGAGCCGGGUGAUUGGAGCAAAGGUUGCAAGCCUAAGUUUAAUAGAACUUCUUCAUCAAGCUUGACAGACGUGAAAUUCAUCAAGGUUCCAAAAGUAGAUUUCUAUGGUUUUGACCUCAACUUCAGUGAACAUGUAUCAAAAGAGGCUUGUAUGAAAUUGUGCUUGGAUGACUUUCGGUGUUCAGGAUUUAGCUAUAGGCUGACAGGUGAAAGGGUUUGCUUUACAAAAAGUGAGCUGUUUAAUGGCUACAAGGCUCCAAAUUUUCCAGGAGACAUGUAUCUAAAAUUUCCAGUGACAGUGGAGGCAUUAGAACCAGCUAUUUUAAAUGGCACCAAUCCUGCAUGCCAGUCGAAUAAAUCUGAUAUAUUGGUUGGAUCUCCAUCUAUGUACAACACAAAUACUAAGAGAGUUAAAUGGAGUUAUUUUUACUGGUUUGCACUGGCAAUUGGGGCAAUAGAAGUUCUCUUCAUUCUAUCAGGUUGGUGGCUGCUCUUUAGAAGACAAGGUAUACCAUCCUCUCUGGAAGACGGAUAUCGAGCAUUAUCAAGUCAAUUCAGGAGAUUUAGUUAUGCUGAACUCAAAAAAGCAACAAAAAGUUUCAAGGAAGAGCUUGGCAAAGGGGGCUCGGGGGCUGUGUAUAAGGGCGUUUUGGCCGAUGAAAGGGCAGUGGCCGUGAAGAGACUAGGAGAUUUACAACAAGGAGAAGAAGUGUUUUGGGCAGAAGUGAGUACUAUUGGAAAAAUCUAUCACAUGAACCUGGUGAGAAUGUGGGGAUUCUGUUCAGAAGGCAGACACAGACUCUUAGUUUAUGAGUAUGUUGAAAACCAAUCAAUGGACACGCAUCUAUUCUCUUCAUAUUUUCUUGGAUGGAAAGAGAGGUUUAAUGUUGCCUUGGGGACAGCGAAGGGUCUAGCUUGUCUUCACCAUGAGUGUCUGGAAUGGGUUAUCCACUGUGACGUGAAGCCUGAAAAUAUACUUCUGGAUAGCGAAUUUGAGCCUAAGAUUGCUGACUUUGGUCUAGCCAAGUUGUCUCAGAGGGGCAGCAAUAGUUCUCAAUUCUCACGAAUUCGAGGAACAAAAGGUUACAUGGCUCCAGAGUGGGCUUCAAAUCUUCCCAUCACUUCCAAAGUCGAUGUCUUUAGUUAUGGAGUUGUGAUACUUGAAAUGUUAAAAGGAAUUCGGCUUUCAAACUGGGUUGUAGAAGAUAGUGAAGGGCAAGAAGCAGAGCUGACAGGGUUCAUCAGGGAAGUGAAAGAGAAAAUUCUAUGUGGAAAGGAAGCACGGAUGGAGGAAAUAGUGGAUCCAAGAUUGAAAGGAAACUUUAACAAGAACCAGGCUGCAACGUUGUUUCGAAUUGGGAUAUCUUGUGUGGAUGAAGAUCGAAACAAAAGACCAACAAUGGAUUCAGUUGUCCAGUCCCUGUUAGAAUGUGAAACUGAGUCUGAAAUCCACAUUACAGGCGAUCCCUGAUUGCGUCUAAGUAUGUUUUCUUUUCUAGCUAUCUAUUCCGUAUUUUCUGUGCUCUCAUGACUAGGACACAAUAUUUAUUACGUAAAAUCAACUGAUGGUAUUUGCACGCGUAAUGUAUGAAUUAAUAAGAGAAUAAAUAGUAUGAGACAUCGCUAGCAUUCCUGAAUGAAACAUUUUUUAUUUUUUUUGGGGUAUUGGAUGAUGAAAUAUCGUCAACUGAAGAGAUGCAUGUAGUUGAUUGCCAAGUCCUCUUCCGCAGGCAAUUUGUCUUUCUUGAUACACUAUAGAUAUGUAGCAAAACCCUGGAACUGCUGUCCAUUGAAUUUUUAAAAUCCAAAAAAGAAGAGAAAAUUUGUAGCACAGACCUGAUGUAACAAAAUACAGAGGCAAAGGCAAAUUAAUCUUCUUAAAAAUCUUCUUAUUUGUUGCUUGCUUUGGAUUAGCAAGGAACACCGCUUUUCAGUGAAGGAGCCGGAUUUCACCAUUCAGGUAGAGAGAAAUUGACCAUCAACAGGGAGAGGCCAUUGCUAAAAUCAACUGUUGAAGAUUUAAACAGAUCUUUCAUAAAUUAGUGUGUUAAUAGUGAUCGAUCAAUGACCAAUUUAUCAAGUCAACUUAUAGAUAAACUGAAGCCUCCAAAUCUGAAUAGAAAGACGUGGCACCAAUAAGAAUGUGAAGCUGAAUCUGAAUUCCACAUUAGCUUGGUUUCUCUAUUAAAUCACAAGGAAAAAAGUUUCAUUUUGUUGCAUGACAGAAACCGUAUAGCUAGUUAGACUUCAGUGGUAAACAUUAGGUAAAAGAUUGAUGUUCAUCCUUAUUCCUGGGAAAUUUAUAUUUAUUUUAUAGAUGUAGGUUGAUUAUUAAAAAUCUAAAUUAAUUAAACUAAAUUAUUUUCAGAAAAUGAAGUACACAGAUGUUUUUACAUAAUUCAAAGAACAAUUCUAUCCCAAAUAUUAAGUAAUUCACUGAGUAUAAGAAGAUUACAACCUAUUAGACCUACGAGAUUCUUACAUGAUUUCAAACUCCCUCUUACUGUUACCGCCAAUUUAGUUGAAUCUACUUAAUGAAUCUGCUUAGUUAACACCAUUCGUCUUUUAUUUGCAGCCUUAAUGUGAAAUCCAUUCACUGUUGCAAAUGACGGUUUCCCCAGAUCGACCAAUCAAUAAACAUGUCUAAUAGUAGACUAAGAUGGAUAUAAAAUAUGAAGACAAAAACUCCAUGAAUAGUUUUGACAGGUAGUGUUCAAACAAUACUAUUCAGUUAUACUUGGCACCCAAUACAGUUCAUGCUGACCAAAAUUCUGUUUCUUUGCUUGUGGUGGACUGAUAUUCAAUAUGUAGGAUACAUCCAUAUUUAUAGGAAAUGGUAGGGAUGGCAAUGGAGCAGAUAUGGAUUGGAUCUACAUUGCCCCAGAUCCAAAUCCGUAAUAAAAAUUAAGAUCCGUAUCUGCUCCAGAUCCGUCAUGGAUCUAUAUUUUUCGCUCCAUAUCUAGAUCCAAAACAAAAAAUAAAGAUCUAUAUCUGCUCCAAAUCCAAAAAGAAAAAUUAAAAUCCAAAUCUGCUCUAGAUCCAUCAUGAAUUCUAAAUCUCAAUAAUAAGAGAUCAAUAUUUUUGUUAGAAAGAAAAUUUAAGACUAAAAUGCAUUGGUAACAAUUAAAUUAUAUAAUUUGUAUAAAAAAUCUAAUAAAUAUUGUAGUUUCUACCUUUAUACCAAAAUAAACAAAUAAGAAAGAUAAUAAAAUAUCGAUCAAAAGUAAUUGUAGGAAUAAGAUCAUUAUAAUAUUCUAAUGUCUCAUUUACCAUCUUGAUAUCCACUGCACACCAUCAUCAUUCCUAUAUAACAUAUAAGUUAAAAAUAAUUUAUUAUAUUCAGUGCUUUAUUAUUUUUAUUAUGAUCAUAUUUAACUAAAUAUAUGAUUAACAUAAUUAUUUUAUAGUUAAUAGCCACCAUUGAUUAGUGAUUAUACAAAAUAAAUAAGAUUAUGAGAAAAUGAUAAAAAAAUAAACUCAAGUCUAUGGAUUUUCCUAACAAUUAAAGAACUGAUCCAAGCAUUCAAAUGAAGUGGAGAAGUGAGAGUAGACUAAAGAGGAAAAAAGAGACUAAAUUAUAGAGUGAAAAACUUAAAAAAAAUUAGGGCAGGCUAUCCUAAUUUUAUUUUACACUUGAUAAAUUUUUGUCUUAUUAUCAAUUAAGUACCUUUAAGUUUUAAGAUUCUUAAAUACAUGCUAAUGAAUAAAUUUUAUCAUCAUUUAUAAUUACAUAAUUGUUAAGAAUUUUUUAAAAUAAAAUUACAUUAAAUCUGAAUUUUUUAAAAUAAAAUAAAAUUUUUUAAAAUGGUGAGUGGAUAUGGAUUUGGAUCUAGAUAUUAAGAUAAAUCCGAAUUUGCUCCAGAUCCACCUUAGAUCCACGCAUCGAUAUUCAAAUCUGAUCCAAAUCCAUUUUAAUCCGACCCAAAUCCGAUCCAAUUGGAUUUGGAUCACAUGAAUUUUGGGUCAGAUCCGAUCCAUUGCCAUCCUUAGGAAAUGGUGAUAUUCCUAUAGUAAAUCAUAAGGAAAAAGACAUUCUCACAACGGAUUACACAAAAGAUUGCACAAAACUGUGAGUUUUGAAAAAGUAUAAUUACAAAAUUUAGAUAAAAUCUCAAAAGUUAAUCAUAUACAUCCCUAUUUGAAUUCAUUUGGAUUCAUUUAGAUUUUGGGUUUAGUUGAUUUCCGCAAAAUGGUAUCAGAGCCAAGUUUUUGGUUUAAAAUAUAAAAUGGAUGAAACAAUUGUUUAUUCCAUUAAUAAUGGAAGAUAUAAUUUAAUGAUAGAUAGAAAUACAAUUAAAGAUAAUAUAACAAAACAUAAACAAUAUUAUUAUUCAGAGGUUAAUAUAUUGGAUGAUGAACAAUUAAUACAAUUUUAUUUAGCCAGAGUUCAUGAAUUUAAAAUUGGAGAACUCAUCAUAAUAAAAAGUAGAAAUUUAAAUAUUGAUCCUAUUCUUCUCUUUAGGAUUAGGAGAGAAGUAUAUAGAAAUACUUUUUCAUGGAAACAAUGGAAUAUUAACUCUAUUGAAGAUUAUGUAGAUGAUCUUAUAAUUGAUUAUAAUGGAUUUUUAAAUGUUAAACAACGAGAUGAAUACAAUUGGAAUAAUAAAAGAAUCAGAAGUAAAUAUUAUCCUUCUAGCAACAUGCUAAUAGGAUAUAAAGAUUUAAUUAUGUAUAAACUUUGCUAUAUACAUAAAGGAUUAACAGAAAACAAUAUCCCUAAGGAUAUAAGAAAUAUUAUAUGUCAUAAAUACUUACUAGAAUAUAAUGAGAUAUUAUGCAGAUGGUACUAUGAAUAAAUUACCAAACCAUUGUUAAUUUCUCAAAAUAUUGAAACCAGCAUAUUACCACCUUCUAGCUAUAGGCAUAGAGGAUUUACUUAUGGAAGAUUUCAACCAUUUGAUUUAGUAAAUGAUUCCGAUAUGUGGGGAAAUAAUAUGUUAAAUUGGAUUUCAUUAUAUUUAUUAAAUAAAUAAGGAAACCCUAAUUUAACCAUAGAUAAUAUAGAAAGUAUAAAUGAGAUACUUGAGAUUAAAAGAUUUGAUACCGAAAAUAUAAGAGGAGUCAAAAUGAUAGGAGAGCGAAUGAGUGAAGAAUUUGAUUCUGUUAAACGAAUAAUAAAAGACUUUAAAAUUGAAGAUCAAGAUAGACUAAAACAAGAAAUCUUUAAUAUUAUGAACAAAAGUUCAAUUGAAAAUAAAUUAAACAAGAUUGAAAUCCAACUACAAAAAAUUGAAAAAUUUGUUGAACAACUUGGUAAUAAAUUCGCUAUAAGCAUAAAUGGAAAAUUACAAAAGGAUUGAAGUACAGAAGAUCAAUAACAAUGUGGAAGAAUUACUUAUAGUAAUUCAAGAACAAAACAAAAUUUUACAAGAUACCAUAAUUCACUAUAAUGAAAACAAAGAUAAAGAAAUGAUAACAAUAUCUAAACUGAUAUUUAACAAAAUAAACAAAGACAAAAAAUUAAUAAGUCUAAGGAUGCUAAGUGAAAAUAUAGAAUUACCUAAUCAAGAAAUAUUUGAUAAAGAAUCUAAAUCCGAAGAAGAAGAUGAUAUAGUCAUUAAUUUACAGGAUAUUGAAAAUAGAAUAGAACAUCUAAAAAUGAAUGAAUCAAAGCCAAGUGUUUUUUAACAAGGAGAAACUAACAAUAGAGCUUCCUAGGCUAGGGAAGAAAUACCAACUCAGAAAAGAACACAAGGUCAACAUUUUAGGAUUAACAAGCCUAAAAAAGAUUAUAAAACUCUAGGAGAAUAUAGAGAAAGACCAAUCAAUCAUGUUGGUGUAUGGUUAGAUUUAGACUGCAUCACAGAUAGAGAUAAAACGAUUACCGCUUGGGUUAGAUCUAUGAAAAUGGCUUUUGCAUUUCACAAAAUUGAUACGGAUAAUAGAAUAGAAUUCCUUAAAAUUUCGUUUAUAAGAAUUGUUUCUCAUUGGUUUAUGGGAUUAAAUGAUAACCAUAAAAAUAGAAUAUUGUAUGGAGAAAAUAAUGAUCGAAACGAAAGUGUUGAUCAAGUUUUAAAUAGAUUCGAAAAUGAAAUAAGAAAAGAAUUCUUGGGAGAAGAUUGGGAAACUGAUUUUCAACAAGAAAUAAAAAGAAAACAGAUAGAAAAUUUAAUGAAGCUAACAAGGCUUGAAAUAUGUAAUAUAUGUUAUUUAGAAGAAUAUACAUGUAGCUUCGAAGAAUUAUAUUAUAAGUGUGAAUUUAAUAAAGAUGAAGAUAAAAUAUGCUAUUAUCAUGAUCCAUAUUUUGUAAAGAAACCAAACCCAUGGGGUAAAAGGAUUAUGUUGGAAUAUAACAAAGAAUACAAAGAUACCACAGAAACUGAUACAUUAGGAAAUAGGAUUAGAUUUGCUCAAAAUAGAAUUAAUGAAUGGUGUUCUGAAAUAAGAGAUAGAAGACUUAUGAAAAGACAAAAUUGAGGAUUAUGUUGUUCUAGGUUAGAAGAUCCGCCAAGAUUUGGAUGUUCGGAUAAAAUCUAUAAACACAAGAAGAAAUUCAAAAAGAAGAGAUUCUUUAAAACCAACAAAAAGUAUUACAAGAGAAAUAAAUAUAAAAAGAAAUUCUACAAGAAAAAUAAAUUUAAAAGAAGAUCUAAAACCAAUGCACCUAAAAAAUGCAAGUGCUGGUUAUGUAAUGAAGAAGGGCAUUAUGCAAAUGAAUGUCCUAAAAAGAAGAAAGCAAAUAUAAAAAUAUUCGAAGAUUUCAAUGAUUUAGAAUUAAUCACCGAUAGCGAAGAUAUUAGUGAAAACGAUAGCAUAUAUUAUAUUUCUGAUGAAACUUUGAGAAUUUAUGAUUCAAAAUCUGAUUCAGAAUGAGUAUAGAAGAAUUAGAAAAUAAAGAUUUAUAUCAAGAUGGAGAGUUAGAAGAAGAAUGUUCUUUUAAUAAAGAAUUAAUCUUUGAUAAAAGGCAAUAUCUCAAGAUUAAUAAAAAAGGAUUGGAAUCAUCUAUGACUUCGAUUAAUAAGUUAGCACAAGGCAUUGCUAACAUGAUUAAAAGAAAAAUAUAAUGUAUUCCAGUGCUACCGUAAGAGAAGAACCUAUUGAAAUUAGGUAUGCUAGAGGAAAUACAAAUAUACCAUUAUUAUUAAAAACUGAUAUAGAAGAUAAGAUAAAUAAGAUAAAAUCUAGUGAUAAAUUUAAAAUAGGAUAUGUUCAUAUUGGAGGAAUUCAAGUCAUGAUAAAAGCUCAUUUUCGAGAAGAAAUAAAUAGUCCAGUAAAUUUAGCGAUAUUGGAUAAUAUAAUCAAAGAUAAAAAACAUGCGCUCCUUGGAAUAAUACAAGGAAACUUAAAUUACAAAAAAUUGAUAUUUAAAAUAUUUCCCAAAUACUCUAUAAGUCUUAAAGACAAAAAUAUAAAUAAGACAUUAACCUUAUGUCAUGAUUUUAAAUAUUUCACUACAAGAAAAAUAAGAUUUUAUUACAAAGAAUAUUAGUCACUAAAAAUAAUAAAUUAGUCACUUUAUAUUUUUUAUGACAAAAAAUAAAUUGUCACACGUUAGUCGUAGAAGGACUGUCUUAAAAGGCUCUAGCGACCAAAAUAAUUUUCGUCACUUUAAGAACAUGAUUCUAUGACAAACAUGAUUGUCUUAAAAUUAAGUUAAAAUUGUCACGAAUAGUGUCUAAAAUGGUCAAAUUAGAGAUUAAAAAAUGCAAUCAACGACACUUCAUAUCGGUCAUAAUAUGUGGUUUAUAGUGACUAUAAUAUUUGUCUUAAGAGUUUGUAAACAUAGUCGCAACAAUUACUAAAAUCGUCAUUUUAGAGGUUUGACGAUACAAUUAGCAACGCUAUUUUUUUGUUGUUAAAGUUUACAUAUCGCGACAUUUCAUAAUCGUCCCACGUAGUUUUCAUUUGUGACAAUUUUUGCUAAUACAAUUAGUAAUUAAUUUAGUGUCAACUUUAUUUUAAUGACAUUUUAUUUUACUAUUACAUGACUAGUUAAAUUGUAUCAAAACAUUUUAAGUGACUAUUAUCUAUUGUCAUAAAAUGUAAGCAUUCGCAACUAUAAAUAUUUAGUCAAAAAAAUUAACAUGUUGUGACGUAUUCUUUUGUUGCAAAAUAUAUGUAAUAUAGUCUAACAUUAUUUUUAAUUACAAUGCACUUUAUUAUUUUAUGACUAUUUAUAUGGUAUCAAAAAAGUUUAAAUGACUACUUUCAAUCGUCAUUAAAAGAAAGCAUUCAUGAUGACAUAUUUUAGUCAUAUAAAUUGAUAUAUAAUGACAAAAAAAAUUUGAUUAAGAAAAUAUUAUUCCGUGACAUCUAAUUUCGUUUCAAAUGACGAGCAAUAUAGUCUCACAUUAUUUUUAACCACAAUACAUUUUACUAUUUAACGACUAUUUAUAUUGUAUCCUAAAAGUUAAAGUGACUAUUUUAAAUUGUUAUUUAAAAGAAAACAUUCAUGACGGCACAUUUUAGUCACAUAAAUUGAUAUUUUUUGACCAAAAAAUUUUGAUUCAAAAAAUAUUAUUUCAUGACGAUUAAUUUCGUUUCAAAUGAUAAAUAAUAUAGUCUCACAUUGUUUUUAAUCACAAUAUAUUUUACUAUUUGACGACUAUUUAUAUCGUAUCCGAAGAGUUAAAGUGACUACUCUAAGUUGUCAUUAAAAGAAAGCAUUCACGACAACAUAUUGUAGUCACAUAAAUUGAUAUUUAAUGACGAAAAAAUUUGGAUACAAAAGAGAUUAUUCCAUGACAAUUAUCUUCGUUUCAAAUAACAAGCAAUAUUGUGUCACAUUAUUUUUAAGGAUGAUGUAAUUUACUAGACAAGCUAGUGUGAUUAUUAAAAAUAGGUGUAGUCAUUAACAAUCAAACCAACAACAAUGAGAAUAACAUAAGAAAGACUUCGAAAUAUUUAUUCAUAAUCCGAAGGAUUCAAACACAAAGCAUGACAUUGAAAUCCAAACAAAUUUGGUUCUUGGCAAAUAAAUGUAAAUAUAAAAGUCACAAAUCACUAUCAAUGACCUAAAAGUAAAAUUUUAUAGUAGAUGUAUCUGCAAAGGUCUUAUUGGGAUUGAGAAUCAAAUAAUGCAGGAUCAUUUGAAGGUGUAAGUGAAAAUGAUGGUUGCUCUUUCAUGAAUUUUAUGAAAUCUUCAACUACCUGUAGUCUGUUAUCUUGCUCCUCAAUCUUUUUGCUUGCUCCUCAAUCGUCUUUGACAUCUCCUGAUUUUGUUGGGACAAUGCUACAUUGGAUGUUAACUUUGAAGGACCUAUCAUUUUCUUCACAAAAUUAGAUUUCUUCCCCAAAACAAUUUCACAAAUUUGAUUAUCAGUUAAUGGCUCAACAUUUUCCUCGGUAUUGGAGUUUUCCUUCAUGUCUAUCAUUUGGUCCUUCAUAAUUAUAUUUUAUUGCUUUUCUAUAGUAUGUUAUACCAAGUAUAGGUUCUAAUAAUAUAUUUCGUGGUCAUUUUGCAGGAUUGAAAAAAAUCAACGGUAAACAUAUAUUUAACCUAUUAAUUAUUAUAAAUAGUAAAAAGUCAACAAUACAUGGCUCAUGAAACUAUUAAUUAUUAAAAUAUUAAAUCAGCAUAAUAAUGAAAGCAGAAUUUAAUAUAAAACAAAAAAAUAACCAAACCUUGGUGAAUGGAGGACGGUUGGAAAACUUGAUGGAUGAGAAAAAGGAGCAAAAGCUGCUGGAUGAAAAUUCCAACACAAAAAUUACAAUAUGAUAUAUGUCAGUAAGUGUACUUGCUUUUUCAAUCACAAUGGCUCAUUAAACAAUUAAUCAUUAAAAUAUUAGAUCACUAUAAUAAUGAAUGCAAAAUAUUAUAUUAAAAUAAUAUAAAACAAAAAAAAAUCAAACCUUGUGAGUAGAUAAUUAAGAAUCCCUAUGAAAACUUGAUGGAUGAGAAAGCAGAGAAAAAGCUGAUGGAUGAAAAUCCCUAAACAAAAAUUGCAAUAAAAAAUGUGUAUGUCGGUAAGUGUACUUGCUACUUUAGGGGAGAAAAAAAGAAAUGCAGGCACACAAUUGCAGUAUAAAUAAAAUAAACUAAUAAUAAAAUAACCUAAUAGAAAUCUUAGGAAAAAAACCAGUUGCUUUAUUUCUUUGAAAAUCGUGAAACACAAGGGAAAGUGGCGGGGUGUGGAAAUAAUUUGUAAUGAAAACCUUAUAAAGUAGGGUUUAAAGAAGUGAUAAAAGAAGAGUUACCUGAGUGAGUUAAACUAAUACAUGUGGCAAUUUAUGAAAGGCUGUCAUAAUAGAUGUGUGUUGUUAAACAAAUUAAUAAACUGAUGUGGCGGUACAUCUAUCUAAUGCCGCCAAAAUUAAUUCUUUUAACUCAUUACAUUUAACUAAAAAAAUAAACGUUACAAUCUGUAAUAUAAUAAUUUAUUUUUAUGUCUUCCAAAACAUAAGUAGGCUGCCAAAAGAGUCUACUUAUAUAUAUAUAUAUAUAUAUAUAUAUAUAUAUAUAUAUAUAUAUAUUUUGUUCAUUUAUAAUUUGGAAGUUACCAUAAGGAAAUCCUUUUACUAAAACAAAAUAAAACUAUUACCAGAAUCAUUGAAAUAUAGCACAUCUUCCAUAACAACCACAAAAGAAUAGUAAUAAACUGUACCAAAAAUUCCCUACCUGGUUGCUCUUGUUAAUGUAUGGCCUAUCUUAGCAAUGCAAAUGAGCCAAUCAUGCUGCAAACCAUUAUUUCCUGAUGCACUAACCCAGGUUUCUACAUUUACAACAACAUUCCUGCAAGAGAGACAUAAAUCAAACAUUUAGUCUUCAAUAAACUUCUUCUUUCUUUUCUUUUUCAGUUAAGCGAUAUAUCACUCAAAAGCACAACAACAAAGAAUUGUCCGAGCUAACAUAUUGAGCAUAAGCCUCUGGAUACAUCCAUGGGCCAACUUCUACAGUAUGUUCUAAAAAAUUUGCAAAACUUCUAUAGUCAAUUCUUUGCACCAAGGUAGGUUUCAUCAAUUUCACACAACAAGAACCACCAUUCCAACCAUAUCAUAUAGCCAAAUGCAAGCCAGUAAAUCACAUGAUUAAAUGAUAAGGUUUUCAGUUCUCAAUGAAUUGUUCCAAGAAUUUUAACAUAUAUAGUGUUAAAUGAAUACAACUUUGUAUAAGACCAUAAUGAGCAUGCUAACUGUUUUACAUCUAAAUGAAUACAACUUUGAGAUUUCUUCUUGUAAAAUAAUUAAAAGCUGAUUCGGAUAAGAUCUUUCAACAACAAUAGAACCAACUCUGCAGACUGUAAACAAAUGUUCAACUUAUUCCAAUAAGAAUUUUACCUCUUUUAGUAGCAUUUUCACUAGGCUUCAUCUUUUCUGUUUUUCCCCCUCUCUCAGUGGAUGAAAUACUAAUAAUUUAAAGAUGUAAAUAAUCAUAUCUAAGAAUUUUUUCAUUACUCUGAUGAAGAAAAUAACAAGUCUAUACUUAUUAUAUUAUUUAUUGAAAUAAGUAGCACAUAUAUGUAAUUACUUCACUGUCAAUUUUCCUUGUUAAGAUAAAAGUGCCAAUGACUCAGAAUUUUGAUAUAAUGCAUGAUGGAUCCUAUCCAUAUAAUAUAACGUAUGCCAUAGAAUAUGCAUUAACAAAUUCAGCAAAUAGUGAAAUGUUUGCUGAUAAAGAUUUUUUUGAAAUUGAUAAAUUAUUCAAUAAAGUUGGAAAAAUACAACCUCCCAAAAUUUUGAGAGAAAUAGAUUUACUAGAAGAAUGGGAAAUGGAUCUAAGUAGUCAACCUACGCUAAUUAAAAGAAAUACCACUAAAGAUAUAGAAUAUACUCCAGAAGGAAGAAUCUUCAUAGGAAAUAGAAGAUCGUUCUCUAUACCCAAAAGAGAACCAGAAUUAAGUAGAAUCCAAAGUUUUACUAGAUGUAGUCAUCUUGUGAUACCACCAUCACAUGAAAUAUUAGCCGCAAUCAGAAAAAAUAAUCAAAAUCUAAAAAUUAAGAUUGAAUAUAAUAAUGGAAAAUCAUGGCACGAGACUUUUGCUAUCCUUGAUACAGGAGUUGCAAAAUCUUAUGUAGAUGCUAAAAUGAUUAAAUAUUUAGAAAGAAAAUUUUUAAUUGAGCCUCAUACUUAUGUAGGAUUUAAUAGAGAAAGAAAGACAUUAAGUCAAUAUAGUGAAAUACUAUUAAGAAUAAAAGGGAUAGAAUUCAUCUUUCCUUUUUUCAUAGAACCAGAUUAUGAAACAGAAAUAAGUCAUUUAUUAUUAAGGAUGAACUUUCUUGAGAAUUUUACUCCUUAUUCUAUAGGAGAUAGAGAAAUAAACUUAACAGUUGAAGGAAUUAAGCAAACUAUAUCAAGAUAUGUCUAAUCCUUUUAUAAUUUGAUUAUACCAUAUUAUAAGCAUAAGCCAGAAUGGUUUCAUGCUUUAAUAGAUAUUCGUUCAGGAGUUAGUUUAGUUAAUUCAAGGAUUUAUCCAAAAUCAUAUUAGAAAGAUUAUAAACCCUAAACAGGACAAGGAAUAAAUGGCGAACAAAUCAACUUAGGAACAUCUAGGAUAAAAACUUUAAUCCAAAUCGAAGAUUACAUCUUAAGUAUCCCUAUAUUAUAGUCUUAUGAUCAUAUGGGAGAAUAUAUACUUUUCGGAGUCAAUUUCCUUCGUCAGUUCAUUUAUAUAAUGACUAACGAAAAAAUUACUCUUAAAACACCAUGUAAUCAUUCCAUCAAUACACCAAGAAUUUAUAUCCAUAUUAGACGAACAACUCGAAAAUUACAUUUUUGAAGCAGCCAGCGUGGUGAAUACAAUAUAAAAAUAAAUCAAAUUAUAUCAAAUUAUGAAAAAAAAAUUAGAAAAACUUGAUAAAAUUUUUGGAGAAAACCCAAUUCAAUUAUGGGAAAUUGAUAAAACAUAUGCAAAGAUUGAAUUAAAAGAUCCAAAUGUUAUCGUAAAAGUCAAGCCUAUGAGGUACGGACAAGAAGAUAGACAAGAAUUUGAUAAACAAAUUAAAGAGUUACUAGAACUCAAGAUUAUUCGAGAAUCUAAAAGUCCUCAUAGUAGCCCAGCUUUAUGGUUAGAAAUCAUGCUGAAAUUAAAUGAGGAAAAGCUCAUAUGGUCAUUAACUACAAAGAAUUAAAUAAAUAUACCAAAUUCGAUGGAUACUUUUUACCUCACAAAGAUACAUUAAUUACCACUGUAAUUAAUAAAAAGAUAUUUAGCAAAUUUGAUUGUAAAUCUAGAUUUUGGCAAAUUAAACUUGAAGAAGAAAGUAUACAACUUACUGCCUUUAGUACACCUCAAGGACAAUAUGAAUGGAUUGUAAUGUCUUUUGGAUUGAAAAAUAUACCACAAAUAUUUCAAAGAAUGAUUGAUAAAAUCUUCAAAGAAUUUCACGAAUUUUGCAAUGUUUAUGUAGAUGAUAUUCUUAUAUUUUCAAAUAAUAAGGUUAUCAUGUCAAUCAUCUAAUUUCUUUCGCAAAAAAAUGCAAAAAAAAUGGAAUAUUACUUUCUAAAAAGAAAGCCGAAAUAAUGAAACCCAAGAUAGAAUUUCUAGGGUUAAUAAUAGAUGAAACAUGAAUUGAGAUGCAACCUCAUAUUUAUGAAAAAAAAUAUAUCUAUUCCCAGAUAAAUUAGAAUCUAAAGAACAAAUUCAAAGAUUUUUAGGAUGUUUUAAUUAUGCUGAAGGCUUCAUAGAAAACUUAGCUAAAGAAAGACAACAUUUACAAGGAUUAUUAAGAAAGAAUAAUACAAAAUCAUGGGAAGAUCUACAUACCAAGGUAGUAAAAAGAUUGAAAGAAAAAUGUAAAAAUCUUCCAAGAUUAGGAUUCCCUACCUCUAGUGAUAAUUUAAUUCUUGAAACCGAUGCUUCAGAUAACCACUGGGGAGCAGUCUUAAAAACAAAUCAAGAAAAGAUUUGUAGAUAUUCUAGCGGGGCCUUCAAAACCGCAGAAAAGAAUUAUCACCGUAAUGAAAAGGAAUUAUUAGCUAUUAAAAAUGGAAUAGCUAAAUUUACUUUCUUUUUGUUACAAAAAAAAAUUAAAGGUAAGAUCCGAUAACACUCAAGUCAAAGGAUUUAUAUUCAAUAAAUUGCCUAAUCUUCCUCAAUAUAAAAGAUUAAUUAGAUGGCAGCAGUUUUUUGCCGAAUAUGAUUUUGAAAUUGAAUAUAUUAAAAGAUCUAAUAAUUGUAUUGCAGAUUUUCUUAGCGGAGAAUACAAUGGAGCAUAGCCUUUCCAAAAUAAUUAAGGGCAUAAUAAUGUGCUCUGAAGGUCAAGAAUUGCUUCUCAAAGGCAAUAGUAUGAUUUACAAUGGGCCUGCCAUGAUAGAUGAUGCCCAUGAAGAAUUGAACAAACUUUGCCCAGACAAAAGUUUGCAAGAUCAUCUAGAAGUCCAAACUUCAUAACAAUAUAUUAGCAAUAUGCUAAAAAGGUCAAUUUUAAGGAUCAAACUGAGGGUCAGACCUCCCAGAGUUCUUCGCAGAGCUCAAAGGUCAUACAUCUAGAGAAAUUUCUCACAAUCAAUGAUCUCAAAGAUCAAUAUGCGAAGAAAGAAGAAUCGCCAGGAUCUUCAGUGAGCCUAAGACCACCAUAUGAUAAAAGUAGAUAGUCCAUCUCUAUGGUUAAAAUACCAUUAGGAAGUGACUACGCUUAUUAUUAUAAAAGAAUUGGUAAAAUAGCCUAUGGGAUUCGUUCUAGUCAGACUAUUAUACCAGAUCAUUCAGGGUUAUAUCCAAGGAUAAACUUUGUGCCAGGAGCUGAUCCAAAACUAAUAAAAGACAUGUUUGAAUAUGGUUUUCUUAACCUUGUUUAUGUCAGUGAUGAUUGCAGAGAAAUAAAAGAGCUCCCAGCAAAAGUUGCAGAGGCUGUUAAUGAUCUCAAAAGGAUAGCUAAAACAAAAUAAAUGAUUUUUGUCAAGAUCCUCACUGCUUGCCCUGAAUACUGUGGUAACAAGUGGUAUCCAGCACAACACAUGAUUCAAGUUGGAAUUAGCAGUAGAACAGUUAGUCCAACUGUUGAUUUAAAUCAAGUCUACAAUGGUUAUGAUCCUGAAUUAUUCGAGCUAAAAGCUCUCACCAGCAAAAGAGUCAUAGGAAUGAAAGUCCUCUAUGAAUCUCUUGAGAGGAUAAACAAGGAGAAAAUAUGGCUCUACGAAGCCACAAAAGAGCAUAUAAUCUUUUCUAUGAGUAGAAAAGAAAAUAUUCUAGCCAGACAGACCAUAUUAAAAAAGAAAAAGGGCAUAUAUGAAAAUCUCGUAGAAUCCAGCUUGCCGACACACCACGAGGUAUGUAAGGUGUUAAAACAUCAAUCAUCAUGUGGCUACUGCUACGAAGGAUCAAAAGGAGAUUCUAGUGGGGAAGACAUGUCUUUAGAUGAAGAUCUGAUAAUUGGCAUGUGACGGGGACCACUAAAAAAGAUAAAAGGUGCUAUCCAAAAAUCAUUAAUAAUUCAAGAAGAGAGAUUCCAAAAAGAAAAAGCUCACCAGAACCAGAUAAAGGUUGUCUGCCAAACAUGAAAAAAAGACAGCUAAUGGCUUCAAUUAUGAAGAGGAGGUGAUGGGUGUCGAAGCCAACAAAAAUAAAUUCCUACUCUAAAUAAAUUGUGUAUAGUGAUUGAGCAGGGUCGUGUCCACAGAGAUCGGUAAUUAUUUAAAUCCUUUUGAAACGUAAAACGUAAAAUGGGGGAAUUGUUGAUAAUAAUAAAAAUCAAAUUAAAAUAACGAGAAUGUAAAUUAAAGUUGUGAUUCAAAUUGGAGAAAGCUCUGGUUGAAGGAAUUAACUCAGCUUGAUUCGACUACUGAUCAUUGAUUCAAAUAUAGAUUAUUAUUACUUAUGAAUAGACCGGUUAUAGCUACUGAGACCCUCUAAUAGCCAAUCUCUCCUUAACUAGUCGAUAACCAAGGUACGACCGUUGGUUAUUUCCCUAAUCAAUAGACAACCCUAGAUACGAUCAUAGGAUUUAAUCAAUUGACAGCCUGAAAAACCAGAGAGACCCAAAUCCUAAUCAACACAUAUGAUGAUUCAUUUAAAUUAGAUUGUUUAUUCUCACAACACAACUCUCUACUAUGUUAUUUGUCACAAACAUUAAAUUCUUCAUAUGAUGAAUCCUUUAAUUGACAAUAGAUUAAGUUGAUAAUUAAAUAGUGGCCAAUUACCUAAUUAACAAACAUAAUCAUGAAAAUAAUUCAGAGAAUAAACAAAUACCCAAAAAAUAAUAAAACAAUUAAAGCACAAGAAAGAUCUCACAGUAGUGAUGAAUCAAAGCUUCAUUAUCCUUCAACCAGAAAAAUAGGUUUAGUUCUUCAUAGAGAGAAGAGAAAAAUUAAGAUCUAGGGUUUCUUUCUUUUUCUCCAAUCCAAAUCCCCCCUUUUUCACAAUAGAUUCCUCCCUUAAAUACUCUCUCUCUCUUCUCUUUUAGAAUUCUAUUUAAAAUAAAAUACUAAUAUCUGAAAUAUUAAAUUCGUAAUUACAAAAAUACAAAACACGUUAAACUAAAAACUGCAGGUCCGCAGUUGACAGCACGCGCCCACGCCUUAUCAACAAAGUUCUUUUGACGCUCAUAAUUUCUCCAAGAGAACAAUCCUCCUUAAACAUCAUCUUUUAGCUCAAUUUUAUCACCAAUCAAUAGAAUUGCACCUACAAAAGUAAAAUACAAGUAAAACAUUAUUAUUAAGUGCAAAACAUCGAUAUUAAGGGAAGUAAACAAUGCAAAACUAGUGCAUAAAUUGCACUCUAACAGGAGGUCACCUUAUCCAAAGGAGAUCGAGAAUCCACCACAAGAAUCGAACGUGUGUUAUGUAAAAGAGAUAACCUUAUCUCUUUAGGAUUAUAAAAGAAAAACAUGUAAAAAGGGAAAGAUGUCACAUGUCUAACCUUCAAUUACCUCUAUAUUCUCUGUAACCCUCCUCUGUAAACAAUUUCAAUAAUGAAAUAAAUAAAAAUCUUUUGAGUGAAAUUAUCAUCUUCCAAAUAUCUUAUACAUCUUUUGAAAAUUAACCAAGAACCUUACCAACCAAUACUUGUACUAAACGAAAAAGAUUUUCUAUUACUAAGCACUCUUCCAGAGACAACUAUAAGGAAAUCACUUAGACAUAUCCUAUUAGGCCAGUCUGCUGUGUGUUGCGUUGGGCCGUGUGGAACAGUCGUUGAAGUGAUCUUGUAUGAUGUGUGGAGCUAUGGUAGUGCUGACCAUGGACCUCACUAUGGUUGGAGGGAAUUAGUGAGUCUAUCUCAGAAUUCCGAGAGAUAGUACACUGGUUAGUGAUAUGAACUCUUCUUUUAUUUUUGUUACAAACGGAAGCAUGUUGGGCCUUGUUUGUUUUCUGAGAUGUUGAAAGUUUGGAAGUGAUAAGAGUAACUCAAUUUCUUAAAAAUGGAAAGGUCUGUUAAUAAACUUCUAGAUGCAAUAGAUCAUUUAGACUUUUGUCGAGAAUAUCAAGUUGCUUAUACAAUUUCCUUGAUUAAAACUAGAUUAAUUGCAAACAAAUGCUUGCAUUAAUAGAAUCAAUUUUAACUACCCUCGAAAUAAUCCAAGACAGGUGCAAGACUAAUAAUAGAACUCAAAAUCGAGCGUAAAACAAUGGAUAAUAAUAAUAAUAUAGAUAUGUCGAUUCAAGAUGGAGAUCUCAAAUUACAAUUUAUUUGCGAAAGCUUUGAUAGAAUGUAUCUAAGCUGGGAAGAUAGCUUAGGAGUAUACAUAGAUAUGUUAGAAGAAAAAAUUUGGUCUAUGACUCAAAGAAGACAAAUGAGUAUAAAUUCAGGGAUUAAUUUAAGUAUAGAUUUUUAUGAAAAAGAUAAUCAUUUAGAACUUUAUAAAGAUAUAGUCAAAACUUUAAAGAAAUUUAAAAUUAGAUGUAGAAGAGAUGGAAGGAGAAAUGCUCCAAUCAAUCAAAAUUAAUAAAAUUCAUAAAUUCCAAAAAUAACACAAAACUUUGAAAUAAUUUGCAAAGAGAUCCUCGUUGUACUAACCUUUGUACCCACUUUUGUGAGAAUAUCAUUGUUGAAAUCAUAAUAGAGUACAUAUUCCUUUUCAAUUUUGAUUUGCUUCCAAAAUUAAAUUCCUUAUAUCCUAAAUAAUCUCCCUAAAAGAAAAUCUCUAUAUCCUAAAAAAAUAACUAAAUUAAGAAUUCUCUUGAUUGAUGUAGAUUUUAGUUUGAAAAUUGCAUUUCAAAAGGAUACAAAUCUUAAAUUGUCACUAGAUGUCAACUUAUUUAAGACUUUUAGGUUUUAAGAAUCUUUCCCUUUGGCAUCCUUGUGGUAAAAACUUUUGACAAACUAGUCUUGAAAGCAUAUCAUGGCGUUGGAGCAAAAGUCUGCAUAUAAAUAAAUUAAAGAACUAACCAAAACAUAAACAUUAGAGCACGUUAGUCCAAAAAUAAAUAAACAUGGCAUGAAUAAAAAUUUACUUCGUUUCAAGAAUAAAAAUUCAGUAUUCUCCUCAAUCAGGCAAUUCUUUUCUAAAAACAAAUGUGACUCUCCUAAGGAAUUACUACUCCCCCUUUUUUGCAAAAGAAUCCAAAGUAUAAUUUAAGAAAAUAGUCUAAGGUUUAAUGAGUAGUGAAUAUAUAUGUUUGCCUAAAAUAAAGACUCAAAUAAUGAUCGCCAUGCAAGAAUAUUCAAAAUAAAUAUGAAAUACCUAAAAUUAACUUUUAAUGGAACUAGUGACAAUUUUCUUUGACAUAUUCUCACAGUACAUACAAAAUCAAGAGAAUUAGGAAUUAAUCACUCAAACUAAUUAAAGAAUAUAGAGAUUUAAAAUUUCUUGCGUAUGUGAAAAGCAAAUCAUUCAAAAUUCGUUAUCAAGUCUCUCAAUAUCAACAACUUUAGUAUAAAGAAAUAGAAUGAACAAGUCAAAGUAACCUUGUAAUCUUCACCUCAAAUUAAAACUUAUUGAAACAAGUAGGUAAUGUCUUUUUUUUUUCCUCUUCUUGGUUUGCUUUUGCUUUUGCCCUUUUUUUUUAACCUUAGUCGGAGCUUUUUUAAUCUACAUCUAAAGGUAGCCUUUUCUCAUGGUAUAUCAUCUUCUAUCUUGUGAUACUCAAACUCAUAUUACUUAAGAAUAGUUUCAUUCUUAAGAGUUAUAGGUAGUUGUUUAUGAAUGCGUUGCCUACACAUCUUGAUAACUUAUAAUUAAGAUAAGAAUCAAAGGCAAAUAGUCAACGUUUAAUCCAUUAUUCUCAACUUCAAAAGUAUCAUUUUAUAGAAUUAAGAAUUCAAAGGUAAAGGUGCAUAAAGAUUUUAAACUUAUCAAGAAUUAUUUCAAGCUUUCAAGUUCUCAAAUUAAGAUUUUAUGCACACUGUAACUUGAAUAAUGAACAUAUCAUGCAAUCUAACCUGCACAAUAUAGUGCGAUGAGAGGACUACACAAAAUAAAUAUAUAAAAAGCUUUUCUUUAGAAGUCUUUAAAUUCAUUCGGAAUAAGUUGCUGCUUGCAUGUGUGUCAUACCCAGCUUAGUUCAGAUGCUCUAAGUCUUAUGGAAAGCGUCGUGGAUCAUAUUUUUGGUGGUAUCUGUCGAAAACUCAAAUUUAAUCUUUGAUAUCAUUUCUUUUUCCUGAAUAGAUUGAGGCAGGUAAGCACCUAGAAUACCCAGCUUGUGAUUCUUGCAAUUUUUUGAAGCAAACAUUAAAUAUUUGCCAUAAACUGGCUGGCUGGCUAUGGAUGGAAGUCCAAGCGGAGAGAAUACUAGAUUGAGGAGUUCCAGGGAGAACCCCGGUACACCUGAUACAGAAGAUUGUCCUGGUGUUAACCCUCAAGGGCUGGAGGAUAUGUCCUCUCAGACCCAGAGGUAAUUUCCGGGGAAUUUGAGCCUGCUAAGAAAUUUGUGAAGGUCAUUGAACCUGGUAUUGCCUUAUUUAUUUUACUAUUUUAAAUGAAUUGAAAACUAUCUCGUUCUCUUAUUAGCAUUGCACCAUGAUUAAUAAUAGCCUGUAAAAAAUAUUCUUUUUUAAGCCAGUAGCGAAUGAUGAUCUUCAUAAUAGUAAAUUAUAUGUCAUCAUCUUUUCUGAGGUCUCAUGCAGACGAAAAUACUAAAGUCAUAAACAAAGAGGAUGAUAGAUUGUUAAUGCACAGCUGAUGCAAGAUCAGAUUCAAUUGGACUCCAGGAUGAUUGGUAGAUGAACAAUCAAUCAAGAGCCAUCUCAAACUAAUAAUAUUAAACAAAGAAACAAGAUCAACCACAACAAUGAAAGAAAACCAGAAAAUAUGAACACUCAAGAACAGAGCACAAACACCAGAAUUGACGAUCAAGAAGAGAGGCUUACACUUUCUUUAUUAGAGAAUUUAACUCAAAUUUACAGAGAUAUUACAUGGUACAAAACAAGGUAAGAUUUUUCCGUAAAUCUUAGUCUUCGACAAGAUACAAGGCCUUAAAUACUACCUAAUACUCAGGUUACAAAACCCAAAAAUGUCAAACUUAAACUAACCCAUUCUCUUCUCCCGCUAAAACGUACAAGUGAGAUAUUAAGCAAAUAAUAUAUCCCUUAGAUUUUACAAAAGAACCCUCAGAGUUCACAAAUUCAUCAUUUACCCCCCAAAAGUACAAUGUUAAAUUAAAAAAAAAAUUAUCUUUAUUAUUGGAGGGUCCUAUUAUUUGUGUAUGAUAGCGGUUUAAGAAUCAAUUAGGCUCCGAAUCUACGUUGAUAUUUGUUUACGCUUAAUUUUUACUUAGAUUUGAUUUACACUUAGUUUGAGUGCUUUAGCAAGUGUCACCGAAUUUGGUUAAAACUCGAUUUCAACAAAUAAAUUUAUAUUUUAGGGUAAUUGGGCUAAAUGAGUGAUUUUUUUCGAGAUGUGUUAUGGUUCUUAUGAUCUGUAGUUAGUUGAGGAGACGUAGCCUAGUUGCUUUGCAUUAGAAACUGAAUGAAACAAUGUUUGGAUCUUGAAAUCAUGAAAUAACCUACAAAAUAGAGGUUAGAGGUGAGGCCAACGGUGGUUGAUGACCAUACUUUGAUGCUCAAGUCAGGUUUCAUGGUGAUUUAACAGAUGUUAAGAGUUUAAGAACCUUAGAACCACAACAACGGCAAAUAUUAAAGGUUGAAGAUGACGUUUGAGAGAGCAAGAGAGAGAUGUCGGAUCUCGUUAAAAAUUGAACCUAUUGGGCUUAACAGGAGUGCGUCUGACAGUCCUUUUCAUCAUUUUAAGCACCUUGACAAAUUUUUAUUGAUUCUUCCCUCCUCACGUAGGAAUAUCUUCGUCACUUCUCUUGAAUGGCAACUGCUGGCGCUAUCAGCAAGCUCAAAGGCCAAGCUGCAAAUGGCGUUUGUUAGUUGGAUCUUUAUCAUGUUGUGCAUAUUGCUUGGAUAGAUUGGUUAGUUCGGUGAAGCAACUUUAAGAUAGCUGACGUGUCUCUGUUUUGUUGCUUACCCUUUUAGAUGAGUUGUGGAGUGAUAAAUUAUGAAUUCUUCCUCCAAUUGCGCUCCAUCCGUCAAGUGCUUGGUUCCAUGGUGAUUGCUCUGCGACUGAAAGUCAUAAUCAAACAGAAACAUCAAUUGCAAGUGGAAAAUACAAAAUGGGUUACUGUCCAUAUAAUCAAUUCCACACAAGGUCGUCUAUUGUUUUGAGCGUUGAGGAGAUUGAGGUGGAAUCUGGGGCCUGCUUUGAGAAGUCGUCUAUCAAGUCUCCUUUUAGGACGAAAAUUGGGUAACUUUUUCACACCACUAUUUUUAUAAGCAAUCUUUCAGACUUUGCUUUACGAAACCAAAGUGUCCACUGCAUUUGGAGAAAAUGACAACGACACUUCCAUGAAUUUGGUAAAAUGUUCGCAGAAUUAUCUUCUUUUUUUUCUUUUUUUUUUAAGAAAUGAUCACAUUUGGACGAUUUUACCAUUUAACAACAAUGUCCAAAUCAUGCAUCAUUAGGUAAAUCUAAAUUAUCAUCCAAAAAAAAAAAAAUCUCUAUGAUCAUUUUUAAAAACCUAGAGAUUUCUAAAACCAUUUCGUGAAACCAGGGGUAUCGUUACGUUUCCCAUGGACUUCACUCAUGAAAAAUCUACAAAGAUUAGCAUGCAUCCUGAAUCCCUUGGAGACUUCUCUUCUCUGAAAACUUGAACAUCAACAAGCUUCUACCAAAUCAAAAUUCUAAAGCAAAUUCCGUAAGCAUGAUAUCCCGCUCCCAGACUUUAAUGUUUCCAAAAUUUCCUUCGUUUCUCAUUGUUCUCGUACCUUUCUUCUUGUGUUUUCAAACUUCAGAAAGCCAAAAGUUCUUGGCUAGGGGCUCUUCUCUAUCUGUUGAUGACAAAUCAGACGUGUUAACUUCCCCAGACAAAACAUUCACUUGUGGAUUUAUAGUCUUUGUUGAGAUGUAAUUAGUAAUCUAGUAAAUUGAGCAAGGAGUUUGAAGGGUUCUAUGGUUUGUUUUCUACAUGAAUUAAAGAGUAGCAUUUAUGCUUGCAAUAUGGCUUGGGAAAUCUAAAGAAUGAUUGAUGUAAUCUCUAGAGUUUGUUAAUGCUUAUAAAUAUGAACUCUAGUUGUACUAAAAAAUAAUAGGGGAGAAUUUAGAAAUGAAUCAAAAGUUUUUUAACAAUAAACUCUGUUCUUAAAUAAAAUUUAUUCUACAAUUCUGCUUGCACCCAACAAAUUUGGUAUCAGAGCUUUUCCAAAACACCUUCUAAAUGACAUCAAAUACCUUGCCCACAUUAAUUUCAUAUAGUCCCAGUCAAGUUCCAAUAUUUGAAGGAGUACAUUUUGAAUACUGGAGUAAUCAAAUGGAAACCUUUUUUCAACGUGGCAAAGGGUAAAAAGAACAUAACGACAACCGCAACAAGUGGAAAAAUGAUAAAGGGAAUUCACAGCAAAAUUUUGAUUCUCAAUGCAUUAUUUGCAACUAAUCUAAUCAUGAAUCAAAAGAUUGCUGUUAUAAAUACACAAGGUGUCGCAUUCCUAACGAUUCUUAAAGGGAUUGUUGAUAUCAAAAUUAAAAAAGGGCAAAAAUGAGCCAAAUUUUACGAAGGAAGGUAAUGAAGAUUACUUGUUUAAUUCAAUUAAAGAUAUGGAAUGAUAUCUCUAUGAAAUGAGAGUUAUCAUAGCAUUUCUAAGCUUAAACUAGCAUUAACUUAGAGAGGAAAUGAUGAAUGUUUAUCCCAUUUUUAGUUACAUUUUGCAUAAGUGUCUAUUUAAGUUUAAUAAUAAAAGUUUGAUAUGUUUUAGACCACUUUAUGCUCUGAUUAAGUGCACUAUUGUAGGUGACUCAAAAGCUCAUGCCUUAUUAAUGGAUGUUGUAAAGAAGAACUGCAUUGCUGCAGUAAUAGGCCUGCAAAAAACGAUAAAGGACUAAUCUACAUAUGAACAAAAACAAGUCUGAACUAGAGAAUGUUGUAGCAAUUGCUACAGCAAUCCAGGAUCUAAUAUAGACAAAAAAUUGCCUAGACUAUCACGUGCUAACAUACAAAUUUUGCUGCAGCUUUUAUUGUGCUGGCAUUGUCAUGUGCAGAAAAACAGUGGCAUGCAACACACAAAAGAGGAACAUGGUCCUAGUAUGUUAAGAAAAGACAAGUAUCCUCAUGCUUUUUGGUAGCCCUAAUUCGAAGAUAUAAAAGACCACAUUUUAUGAAAAUAAAGAGGACAACUGACAGAGGCAAAAAGGGAUGCAAAAAGAGAGAUUUCAGAGCUUGACAAAGGGAAUUUCCAUGGAGAAGAAAGAGAGAUAACAAGCGUGACUUUGAAAUCUUUUGUAUUUUAACUUUUUCAUCAUAUUUGAUUGUUUUGUUAUCUCUUUAAUAGUGUAUUUAAUAGCAAACACUUGUGUUCUUAUUGUUUUCAAGAUCAUCAUGAGCUAAACUUUAAGUUAGUUGGGCUUUAAAUACACUUAAUAGUUAAUUGACUCACAUAUGAAUGUUGCCUAGAAUCUGCUGUAGCACUUUGUUUUAAUUUUACUUAUUGUAAUUCCUUAUUUCGGUUAGCUACCUAUUUAGUGGAUACUAGCUAAAAAUGAGCCUAAAAAAGGUCUAACUUAGUGGAACAAAAUAAGACAAUACAUGGCUUUAGAUUGGGUUUCCCAAGUUGAGUUAUUAUCGAUUUGAAUAGGGUCAUGCUCAAUAUAAAAUUAGUGGAGAACUAGAUAUAGGGAUUCACCUUGUAAGGCAAAUAGAGUUUAAAACGUAUAAUGUUAUAUCUAAUAUUAGUUUAACAAUUAGUCACUGUUAGAUUGCAUAUAGAUAUAAGAUAUCUAAAAUGUGACAGCUGAGGAUGCAUUAGAGAUUUUGUCUAGUGUUGUGGUAGAUAAUAUAGCAAUUGUGCCACAUUUAGAAGAAAGUCAAUAACCAAUAAGUGAAUUUAGAACCCAACUACCCUUUUGCCGUUGAGUAUAUUUUUGUGUUUGACUUUGGACUCUUUUUAUUGCAUUCAAUUUACUGCAUUAGUAAUUUUAGUAGAUUUCUCAUCUCAUCAUUUAUUUAGUUUUAUUUAGUUUAUUAAAAUUGCACUGUUAAGAUUGUUGUAGCAAUUCAUAUAACAUCAAUCCCUGUAGAGACGAUCUUGAUACUCAUCAUUAUAUUACUUGUUGUGUAUACUUGUACAUUGACGACCCACAACACACCAUUGAACGUGAAUAAAAAAAUUUUUGGUACUUGGAUAGUGUAGCAACCACAUGACUAGAGAAAGUGACAUUUUCAUCAGCCUUGACCAAAGGUGUGAUGCAAGUGAAGCUUGGAGAUGGAAAUAUGCAAAAAAUUAUGGGAAAAGGCACUAUUGUUGUCCAUACAAAGCGAGGUAACAAAAAGCUCAUUUCUGAUGUUCUUUAAGUUCCAAAUUUAACUUAGAACCUAUUGAGUAUGGGGCAGCUAAUUCAAAAGGUUUUUUAUUUAUUUAUUUUGAUAAUGAAAAAUGUAAAAUUAUUGAUAAAACUAAUAAUCGAAUAGUGGCUGUUGUUGAAAUGUCAAAGAACAAGGUUUUUCCUCUUGUUAUGCCACUUGAUGAAAAUGUUGCUCUCAAAAUUGAAAAUUCAAAUUUGUCAAAUUUAUGGUCUCUCAGAUAUGGCCAUUUAAACUAUAAAGGGAUGAAUUUACUUAAGCAAAAGAACAUGGUGAUUGGUUUACCCGAUGUUGGAAGACAUGAAAAAGUUUACGAGGGCUGCAUAUAUGGAAAAAUGCAGAGGCCUUCAUUUCCUAAAACUUAAUGGAGAGCCAAAGCUCCAUUCGAGUUGGAAAAUGUUGAUAUUUGUGGUCCUACAAGGACUCUCUCUCAAUAACAGAAAAUGUUUUAUUCUUUUUGUUGAUGAUUAUACAAGGAUGAUGUGGAUUUAUGUUUUGAAUGAAAAAUUAGAAGCCUUCUCAAAUUUUCUUUAAUUUAAAGCUCUUGUUGAAAGGCAAAGUGGAUGUAAAAUGAAGACCAUGAAAACUGAUCGUAGUGGUGAUUUUAUCUACUCUCCAUUCACGAAUUAUUACAAGGAUAAUUGAAUUCAAAGGCAACUUACUAUCAUCCGAAGUCCAUAGCAAAAUAGAGUGACAGAACGGAAGAACACUCCAAUACUAAGAAAUGUUCUCUGAAUUACCAGUUACUUCUGGAAACUUUAUUUUUAAGGCUAGUUGGUACCCACUUUUGACCGAGUAAUCCCCAUUUUUGUCGUAAUGCCAUAGAACUUCGUCUUUUGAUUGCUUUUUUGGAAGUGGUAUCUUGAGAAUUACUGUUGUAUCUACUUUCAUGAAGUGUUAGUUCAGCUUGACUUCAUCCCAUUGAUUAUCAGCCUUUAUUAAAUCUGCAACCACUAUGUCUGCAGGCAAGGUUGGGGGAGAAAUAUGCUUAAACGUAUCUGGUCUUAACAGCCAGUUGUCCUUGUAGAUUGAGAUCUUCCUGUCGUUACCUACUCGUCAUUUAAUACCUCUCUUGAUCACUUGUCUGCCCCAAAGAAUACUUCUCUAAAUAAAUGAUACGUUGGACCCUGCUUUUGCACUAAAAAAACUACAAUUCCUGUAGUAUCUUGCCUGUAAGACUCUUGAACACACUCAUUGCAUAAGCUUGGAUUGUUUGGGUUGCUGCUUUAAUCAGAACUUCCCUGCCCCACUAGAGAACAUUUUGUCCUGCCACCUUGCAAUUUUGUUUAACACUUUAAGCUUUACAUAAUUAAAAAAGCUCAUUUUCUUUCUACCAAUCAUUGAAGGAAGACCUAAGCACUUUUUUAUAUUUAGAGACCACAUUUAGCUUGAAAAUGCCUCGAAUAACAGCCAUUUGGCUUUCUGGAAUUCUGCCACUAAAGAACAAUGAUUAUUUUUUAAAAUUAAAGAUCUACCUUAAGGUUGUUGUGUAGCUAUAAAAAAAUUUCUUCAAAUGCUUGCAUUCAGCCACUCAUGCUCGAGAGAAAAUCAGACUAUCAUCUGUAAAAAGCAAAUGAGUAAUUGAAACUUCAUUUGCAAGUCUCAAACCUCGAAUUAGCUGAUUGUUUUCUACCAUUACCAACAUGUUGGUGAAAGCCUCUGCACAUAUGAUGAAAAGAUAUGGAGAUAGGGGACAACCCUGCCUCAGUCCUCUUCUGGAUGAAUCAGACCCUUUAGUACUCCAUUAAUAAUCACCGAGAGUGAGACGAUAGUAACAUACCUCAUUAUUAAGUCCACCCAUUUAAUUGAAAAGCCCAACAUUAUCAUUGUUUAUUUCAAAAAUGACUACUCAACCCUGUCAUAUGUCUUACUGAUAUCUAAUUUGAGAGCCACCAGAUCGUUCAUCUUUCUUUUGCAGUGUCUUAUCUUACGAAUGCAUUCAUAGUCAAUAAUGACAUUGUCUAUAAUAAGCAUAUUGGGUAUGAAUGCACUUUUGUAUUAGGGAAAUGAUUUGGGAAAGGAUAUGUUUCAUUCUAUUUGCAAUAGCUUUAGCUACGACUCUAUAAAUGACAUUACAAAGGCUAGCAGGUCUGUAAUCAGUGACUCUCUUAGGCUUUGCAAUUUUAAGAAUCAAAGCAAUAAAAGUGUGGUUGAGGGGAGAUGAGUUACCUUGCUCAUUAAGGAUGUGUAAACACGUUGUAACUACUCCAUUGCGAAUUGAUUUCCAAUGCUUCUAGAAAAAGACAGCGGGUAAACUAUCUAUAACUAGGGCCUUUGUGGGGCAUAUUUGGGCAAAAGCAUCCUCUAUAUCCUCUGGUGUGGAUGGCUUCUCCAGCUGGGCAUUCAUUUCUGAAGUUACUUUUGCAGGCACUCCUCAAAGGACAGUUUGAAUUUGGCUCGGGGUUGGGCUGGAAGAGUUGAAAAGCUCUUGGAAAUAUCCACAAAACUCCAUUUUCUAUUUCAUCUCUCUCCUUUAGCCAAAUGACUUGAGAGUUUUCUACCCCCCACACCUUAUUCUUUCUUUUACGAGUAGAGGCUUUGGCGUAGAAAAACUUCGUAUUUUAAUCCAUUUCUCUUAGCAAGUCAGCCCUCGAUAAUUGCUUCUAGUAAAUCUCCUUAUCUAUCAACAUGGAAUUAAUCUGACUUUCAAUCCUUCUGAUCUCCUCUCCAUCUACCAGUUUAGAGCUCCCUUGUUUAGCAUUAUGUAAACACUGAAUCAAUUUUUCUUGUUUUUUUUUCAUGCCUUUAAACUUGUUUUUGCUCCAGAGCUUAAGUUGAGCUAAAGCAUUUUUUAGUGCCCUUUGAAAUUGUUGCACAUGGUCCCAAGCUCUAGUCCCACUCAUCCUUCACUAUGCUCCUACAGUCUUCAUAUGAAUUCCACAUAUCCUUAUAGUGAUCUCGAGGGAAAGAUUUUCUUGCAGUUCUCGAUUUCUUGCGUCUCUUUUUUAAUUCUAAAAUUAUUGGGCAUUGAUUUAAAACCGAAUUUACUGGGUUUGUGGCUGUACAGUCUUGAAAUUUAUUACAUUAGUCCUUACUGUACAAGAACCUAUCCAGUCGUUCCUCUAUGUAACGAGCACCAUAUCUCCUAUUUGACCAUGUAUAAAGAUACCAUUUACAGCCUAUAUCUAUUAACUUACAACAUUUCACAGCCUCUCUAAACUCAGCUACCAUAUUUAAGUUCCUCUCAUUGCCCCCAUUUUUCUCAUUCAAGUGCAUCAUUUCAUUGAAAACCCCAAGACAACACCAAGGAUAUGUGGAGAGAUUAGCUAACCGUUUCAGCAGGGUCCAAGUAUGAUGCUUCUUGUUAACAAACUUUAAUGUUUUUUAUUAAAAAUGUUGGAGUUUUCAUUAAUAAAUAAAUUCUUAAAAGUCGUAUAAUAUUUCUGGACAUGUUUAUGAAUUCGGAUAAUUGUUAACUUUAAUAAAAAAAUCAUUCUCUACAAAAGAUUAUUAAAAUGCUGAUUUUGGACAAUAACGGUGAACUGUUUACUGAAAACAGUUAACUGAUAAAUUCCAGAGAGAUAUAAAUCUGUUAUGUAGGUUUCUGAAAAUAAACAGCUAACUGAUAAUGUCAAAUGGCUAACCGAUAAUUUCUAGAAAGGAAUUACAUUCUAACCGUGAACCGUUUAGCAAGAACGGUCAAGCCAAAUUUGUUUUGCAGGUUUUUAGAAAUUAACGGCUAACCGAUAAUGCCAAAUGGUUAACCAAUUAUUUGAAAUUUGAGCUCAACAGUCAUUUGAACUAGUCAAAACGGUUAACUGAUAGCAGUUAAUGGCGAUCUGAUUUUUUUCAGAAAGUCAACAACAACUAGCUUUCAGCUCCAAUUAUAAAAUUGCUAAAUCAAAUUCAAAUAAAAAAGUGAUCCAAGAGUUAAUAUUGAGCUUGCUAUUGAGAAUACAAUCUUCAUUAAGCCUUAACUUGUUCUUGUUUCAUUUAUUCACACUUUGAGCUUUCAUUUGUAACCAUGUACAUUGUGUGAGAGAAAAUUCAUUUGUAAUCUUUGUUUUUGAGUGAUUGUAAGUGUUGGAAUACACUUGGGUUAAGAGAUUGGGAAUAAUCUCUUGUUGUAAAGGUCUAUUGACACCUUGCAAGUCAAUUGUAAGAGCUGUUGAAGCCUUGGAGGAUCGAUUAGCAGAAUCCUCAUGCCCGGUGAGCUUGGAGGCGUGGACGUAUGCACGGUUGGCCGAACCACGUAAAAAUCAUGUGUUUGCUCUCUCUUACUAUAUCUCUUUAUAAAAUUGCAUAUUAAUUUGUUUAUUUCGAAUUUGAUUACUUUGUUUAAUUUGCAUUUAGUUUUAAUUACUUAAAUUUUUAGAGACCCAAUUCACCCCCUUCUAGGGUUGCUUAAUUAAUAUUUCACUUCUGAUUGGGUUUUGUGCAGCCAUAAAUUCCUAUGCAUCUCCAAGCCAAGCCACUUUCACUAAGCACUACUACAUCUACAUGGUGGGAGUUGUAUGAGGUGAUAUUUACAUUAACAUCCGACCCUCGAAGCAGAGCUUGACCACCACCCAUGCCAUUUUUGUCUACAGCAAAAUAAGUCUCAAAAUUAAGACUCCUAUAAAUUGAAUUGACCUACCUAGACAACAUUUUAGUUUCAUAGCAAAAAUAAUUUGAGGUCAGUGCAGGUGGAAAUUUUUUUUUUAUUGAUAGGCACGUUCAAGGCUUCCCCAAACCUCAAACAUUCCAACUUAGAAUCUUCAUGGUUGUCGGCGGGGCUGAUCAUCAACUCCCGCCGAUAAAUCCUCUUCUUUUACCUCCAAAUUCUCCCCUAAAUCUAGCAUUUAGCAUCUCAUCUGCUAACUUCAGCUGUCGAGCUACUUUGUUGGGACUAAAAUGGUUGCAGUUGCACAAGUUUUUUGUUGGCCUUAAGUGGUUUCCUUUUUGUGAUUGCAUAGAUGGGCUGAACACUUGCUUCCUUUUGCACUCUGUGUUAACAUAUAUGUAUCCAUAAUGUUGAUUUUGAUGAUAACAAAUAAGAUUAAAAAUGAUUAAGUUUUUAAAAGCUCAAAUUAUUUUUCAUACAUUUUAAAUAAAUCAUUAUUUUGAUAGUAUAAAUGUUUUAUAUUUAAAGGAAAAAUAACUUUAUAAAAUUGGUUGUUUUUCAAGUUCACGAUCUAAUUGAAAAAGUUUUGAGAAUUUUGAAAUCAAUAAGUAUUGCUUAAAAUUCAAGAAAUUGACUUAUUUGAACAGUUUCAUAAAGUUUUGGCCAUAGUAUAAUUUUAUAAAGUUUUGGGGCCAAACUAUAAUUUUAGAAAAUAGUUUCACUGUAGCAGUCACUGUAUCAAACGGCUAGCCAACAUCGAACAUAAUUGAAGAUUAGUUUCUGAAAACUAAUGGCGAUCCGAUAUUUGAAAAACGUUGAUCCAACAAUUUGAAAUCAUAGUACAACUGUAACUUGCUCAAUUCAAAACGGUGAACCGAUAAAGCUUAAUGACAAUCCGACUUUGUGCAGAAAGUCAAUAACGGCUAGUUUUCAGCUCCAACUAUAAAAAGGCUACAUUAUAUCCAAAUCAAAGUAAAUCUCACGAAUACCAGAGAGCAUAUUAUUGAGAAUGCAAUAUUUCUUAAGCUUUAAUUUGUUCAUUCAUUCUUUAAAUCACACAUUGGGCAUAUAUUUGUAAACACAUAUUGUAUGUGAGAAAAAUCUUGUAUUUGAGAAAGUGUGAGUGUGGGAAACACUUGGGUUAAGAGAUUUGGGAUAAUCUCUUAUUGUAAAGGUUGAUUGACACAUAUGAAGUCAAUUGUAAAAGUUCUUGAAGCCUUGAAGGAUUGGAUAGUGGAAUACUCAAGCCCGGUGAGCUUAGAGGCGUGGACGUAGGCGGAGUUAGCCGAACCAGGUAAAAAUCUUUGUAUUUGAAUCUCUCUUCCCUUAUCUCUUUACAUUUUGAUUGAUUUAUUUAUUAUUUUUUUGAAUUUAUUUAAGAUUUGCAUUAAGUUUUGUUCAAGCAUUGCAUAAUUUUUAGAAACUCAAUUCAUCCCCCCUCUUGGGUUGCAUAACUAGUAUUUCACUCUAGGCUAGGCCAAUUGCCAUCACUGCUGGGCCUUUUGGCUCUUAUUGGCCCAAUACCAUUUACUCCUUCUACUUUGGUAUUUCUUGCCUGCAACUUCCACUUUCUUCCCCUAGGCUUCGCGUUAGCCUUGCUUGGCCCAUUAUUCACCUCCUCUUCAUCUGAUCUGGCACUUCCCUCAUCGACUUUUUUUUUGUUCUCCAUGGUUCUCAAAUUUUCCUUAUCCACAGGAGUUUUAUUUUCCCUCCAAUCUUUAUUUCCCGCUUUCACGCAUUCAUAACUAGAGUAACUAUCAUUACUAGGCACCUUGUCAUGCACCUCAUUAAUGUCACAACCCAUACUCUGACCCUCCACUUGCUGAUUUUCCGGCUCUGUAACAGUCGAUAUUAAAUGUUUCUUAUCAGUUCUUAGCUCAUUGCUUGUAUCCAUUGGUUCUACACCAUCAUCUAACUCCGAACCCGAUUUGUUCAAAUAUGACCCAUUUUGUCCAACCAGAUUGUUUUAGAACUGAUGUGACCUAAGAUUGGUUGUUGCUGAAGCAUUUGCUUUGGACUGUAAUUGUUCCCGAUUGACUUUCUCUCUGCUUCGAUUCUGCUUUACCCUUUCAGCUUGUGUAAUUGCUCUCAUCCAUCCACCAUAAGCGAAAUCCUCAUUUUGUUGUCCUUUGUAAUUUAGGCAUUCUCGGUAUUGAUGACCAAUAUGCGCACACCUGAAGCAAAAAUCCGAUAGCUUUUCAUAAAGAAUUGGCAUUGGAAUUUUGUCCUUUUCUUGUUGCAAGAACACAAUCUUUUUUAAUGGUUGUGCAAUAUCAAUAGAGAUUCUAACUCAAGCAAAUUGUCCUAUACAUUCCCUGGCUUCGUCUGUAUCUAUUUCCUUGACCGCACUAAUCUUUUCUCCCAACUUUUAAAUUGCCUCCUUGUUCAUGCACAUUAUGGGUAUCUUAUGAAUCUACCCAAAAUGUUGCAUGUGUAAAGGAUUGAUUUUUAAUAUCUCCAAUCCCAGUUGGUUGAGUCAAAACUAUCAGUGCUAUGUCAAAAUGCAAUGGUCCUCCCAUAAGCACCCUUUUCUUUUCUUCUCCCUAUGAAUGUUACAAUGUCUGCCUCUUCUUCUUUUAAAAUGAUUGCUUGACACUUGCGAAUUAAUUCCUCAAUAUCCAUAGUUUACUGCGAAUUAAUUCCUCAGUAUCCAUAGUUUACAGUGUUUCCAGUAAUAAAUUGUCUCACCAACCUACUAGGAUCCAUAAAUAAAUGCAAUAAGUAGGAAUUAUCUGCCCAAAUUUCAUCGAGAAACUGUAACGAAAAUUGUAAGGAAGCACCCAACUAAACUUUGCUUCACGAAACUAAAGUGGCCACUUGUAUUUGGGGAGAAUGAGAGUAGUAUUCCUGUGAAUUGACAAAAUGAUUCCGAAAAUCUGAUUAUUUUUUUGAAAUGAUCGCAUAAAAUCUUUAGGAUUAUCCUUCAGCAAAAGUGACCAAAUUUUGUUUCAUUUAGGCUUUUAAAAAAAAAAAAUUUGUAAGGUCAUUUAUGAAAACAAGGGUAAAUUACCCUGGCUGACAGAUUUUUUGACAAACUUCAAAGAGGUGAAAUAUUUUUUAAAAAUAGGCAAGCAGGUGACAAUCCGUUAACUUUUCCGUUAACUUUAACAGGAAAAGUAAAUUAAUUAUAAAAUGACAUUUUUGCCCCUAGAGUUAAUUGCAAAAUGACGUUUCUGCCCCUAUAAUAGCCACAAAAUGACAUUUCUAUCCCUAAAAUUAGUUACAAAAUAUUUUUUUGCGCAUACUCAAUUAUUUUUUAUGUUUUAAAUAGAAAAAAUUAUUAAAAAAAUUACAUCUAAGUGUAAUUAAUGGGCUUUUUUUUUAAAUCAUACAAUUAUUUUUUCAAAAAUUCUUGUUGAAUCAAACAAAAUUUUUUUUUAUAAAUUGUAACGACAAAGUUUGAUUCAACAAGAAAUUUUAAAAAAAAAUUGUAUAAUUUAACCAGAAAAAGCCCGUUAAUUGUAUUAGAUGUAAUUUUUUAUAAUUUUUUCUAUUUAAAAAAUAAAAAAUAAUUGAGUUUGCGCAAAAAUAUAUUUUGUAACUAAUUUUAGGGAUAAAAAUAUCAUUUUGUGGCUAUUAUAGGGGCAGAAACGUCAUUUUGUAAUUAACUCUAGGGCUAAAAAUGUUAUUUUGUAAUUAAUUUACUGUUUAUGUUAAAGUUAACGGAUUGUUACAUGCUCACCUAUUUUUUUAAAGAGUAAUGAUACAGCCACAAAUUCUUGUACAAACUUAUUUUGUACAAAUUGAUGUGGCAUGAUAAGAUUGGUUGAAUUAAAUAUCACUUGGCCCACAUAAUUUGUUUUUAUUAAUUUAUAUUUUCAUUCAACCAAUGAAUUAAUGCCACGUCAGUUUGUACAAAAUAAGUUUGUACAAGAGUUUAUGGCUGUAUCAUUACUCUUUUUUAAAAUGUUUCACCUUUUUUAAGUUUGUCAAAAAAUCAGUCAGCCCCGAAAACAAUUGGUCAUUAUGACCAAGUAGUCAAACCACAAGAGUUAUCUCACUGUGACCAUAUUUAUUCAAACAAUUAUCACGGGCUGCGACAACCUCUCCUUGACAUGAGAAACGCAACCAACCAGAUCAGGACUAUGACUACAAGAUUUCUGUUGUACAUGACCAUUGAUGCGACCCUUCAAAAAUCAGCAAAGAAUGAAAUAAAUCCUGAAUUCUUCUUAAUCUCUUCUUCGACCUCUGCAAACUUGAACGCCAACAAUCUUUUCAUAAAUCAAAAAUUCUAAACCAAAUUCUGUUAGCAUCAUCUACCACUCCCAGGCUUCAAUGUUUCCAAAUUUUCCAUCACUUCUCAUUGUUCUCAUAGCUUUUUUCUUCUGCUUUCAAACUUCAGAAAGCCAAAACCUCUUGCCUAGGGGCUCUUCUCUAUCUGUUGAAGAUAAUACAGGCGUGUUGACUUCCCCAGACAAAACAUUCAGUUGUGGCUUCUAUGGCCUCGGUGGAAAUGCUUAUUUGUUCUCAAUCUGGUUCACGCACUCUAGAGACAGAACUGUUGUUUGGACAGCUAACCGUGACAGACCAGUCAACGGCCAGGGCUCCAGAGCUUCUCUGCGGAGAAAUGGCGCCAUGGUCUUAACUGAUGUUGAUGGCACAGUCAUUUGGAUGACUAACACAACCUCUACUGGUGCUGAUAGAGCAGAGCUUCUGGAUACUGGAAAUCUUGUUCUCAAGGACAGACACGGUAAAAUCCUAUGGCAAAGCUUUGAUUUUCCU
rnacentral:lncRNA from 1 species